rnacentral:tRNA from 1 species
UCCCUGGCAGUCUAGUGGUUAAGACUCUGUACUUGAACUGCACAGGACUCAGGUUCAAUCCCUGGUCAAGGAA